AGUAAAAUGGCUGAGGUUAAAGCGAUAAAUUGUAAAUUUAUUAACGAGAAAUUUUCUUUUACUA
rnacentral:tRNA from 1 species